rnacentral:misc_RNA from 1 species
AAAAGAAAAGAGAAGAGGAUAUUGAAGUAUUUCCUCCCUCAAGCUGAAGUUGCAUCUUUAUUGAGCAUUACUCUUGCUUUGGUAUGGCAAAAAGCAGUUAGGGUAUGGCCUGGAUUCAUGAUUCAUUUCAUAUUAUGGGGCUCUUUCUUUAUGUCACUGUCAGCUGGAAUUCUCUUAAUUUGUUUCCAGACGGCUCCCACUGAUGGUGUUGGAGUUUGUUUUGUUGCCUUUGCAAUUGGUAAUGGCUUAUAU